UACGUAGGGCGCAAGCGUUGUCCGGAAUUAUUGGGCGUAAAGAGCUCGUAGGCGGUUCGUCGCGUCGGCUGUGAAAAACCCCGGAGCUCAACUCCGGGCCUGCAGUCGAUACGGGCGGACUUGAGUUCGGCAGGGGAGACUGGAAUUCCUGGUGUAGCGGUGAAAUGCGCAGAUAUCAGGAGGAACACCGGUGGCGAAGGCGGGUCUCUGGGCCGAUACUGACGCUGAGGAGCGAAAGCGUGGGGGAGCGAACAGG
rnacentral:rRNA from 1 species